rnacentral:rRNA from 1 species
CAGGCCUAACACAUGCAAGUCGAACGGAGUGUUGAGAGCUUGCUUUUAACACUUAGUGGCGGACGGGUGAGUAAUGCGUGAGCAACCUGCCUUUCAGAGGGGGACAACAGUUGGAAACGACUGCUAAUACCGCAUAACGUAUUUUGGGGGCAUCCCCGGGAUACCAAAGGAGCAAUCCGCUGAAAGAUGGGCUCACGUCUGAUUAGCUAGUUGGUGGGGUAACGGCUCACCAAGGCUGCGAUCAGUAGCCGGACUGAGAGGUUGAACGGCCACAUUGGGACUGAGAUACGGCCCAGACUCCUACGGGAGGCAGCAGUGGGGAAUAUUGGGCAAUGGGCGAAGGCCUGACCCAGCAACGCCGCGUGAAGGAAGAAGGUCUUCGGAUUGUAAACUUCUUUUAUGAGGGACGAAGGACGUGACGGUACCUCAUGAAUAAGCCACGGCUAACUACGUGCCAGCAGCCGCGGUAAUACGUAGGUGACAAGCGUUAUCCGGAUUUACUGGGCGUAAAGGGCGUGUAGGCGGUCUUGCAAGUCAGAAGUGAAAUUCCUGAGCUCAACUCGGGCGCUGCUUCUGAAACUGCAGGACUUGAGUGCUGGAGGGGAUAGCGGAAUUCCUAGUGUAGCGGUGAAAUGCGUAGAUAUUAGGAGGAACACCAGUGGCGAAGGCGGCUUGCUGGGCUUUUACUGACGCUGAGGCUCGAAAGCGUGGGGAGCAAACAGGAUUAGAUACCCUGGUAGUCCACGCCGUAAACGAUGAUUACUAGGUGUGGGGGGAUUGACCCCUUCCGUGCCGCAGUUAACACAAUAAGUAAUCCACCUGGGGAGUACGACCGCAAGGUUGAAACUCAAAGGAAUUGACGGGGGCCCGCACAAGCAGUGGAGUAUGUGGAUUAAUUCGAAGCAACGCGAAGAACCUUACCGGGUCAUGACAUCGAGUGACCGGCUCAGAGAUGAGCUUUUCUCUUCGGAGACACGAAGACAGGUGGUGCAUGGUUGUCGUCAGCUCGUGUCGUGAGAUGUUGGGUUAAGUCCCGCAACGAGCGCAACCCCUAUUUCCAGUAGCCAGCACGUUAGGUGGGCACUCUGGAAAGACUGCCAGGGACAACCUGGAGGAAGGUGGGGAUGACGUCAAAUCAUCAUGCCCCUUAUGAUUUGGGCUACACACGUGCUACAAUGGCGUUUAACAAAGGGAAGCGAGCCUGUGAGGGGGAGCAAAUCUCAAAAACAACGUCCCAGUUCGGACUGAAGUCUGCAACCCGACUUCACGAAGCUGGAAUCGCUAGUAAUSGCGGAUCAGAAUGCCGCGGUGAAUACGUUCCCGG